rnacentral:rRNA from 1 species
UACGUAGGUGGCGAGCGUUGUCCGGAUUUACUGGGCGUAAAGGGCGUGCAGGCGGUUUGUUAAGUGCAGGGUGAAAGCUCCCGGCUCAACUGGGAGAGGUCCUUGCAUACUGGCGAACUCGAGGGAGGCAGAGGAAAGUGGAAUUCCCGGUGUAGUGGUGAUAUGCGUAGAUAUCGGGAGGAACACCAGUGGCGAAGGCGGCUCACUGGCCCGAUACUGACGCUGAGGCACGAAAGCGUGGGGAGCAAACAGG